rnacentral:rRNA from 1 species
GAUGAACGCUGGCGGCGUGCCUAAUACAUGCAAGUCGAGCGAAUGGAUUAAGAGCUUGCUCUUAUGAAGUUAGCGGCGGACGGGUGAGUAACACGUGGGUAACCUGCCCAUAAGACUGGGAUAACUCCGGGAAACCGGGGCUAAUACCGGAUAACAUUUUGAACCGCAUGGUUCGAAAUUGAAAGGCGGCUCCGGCUGUCACUUAUGGAUGGACCCGCGUCGCAUUAGCUAGGUGGUGAGGUAACGGCUCACCAAGGCAACGAUGCGUAGCCGACCUGAGAGGGUGAUCGGCCACACUGGGACUGAGACACGGCCCAGACGCCUACGGGAGGCAGCAGUAGGGAAUCUUCCGCAAUGGACGAAAGUCUGACGGAGCAACGCCGCGUGAGUGAUGAAGGCUUUCGGGUCGUAAAACUCUGUUGUUAGGGAAGAACAAGUGCUAGUUGAAUAAGCUGGCACCUUGACGGUACCUAACCAGAAAGCCACGGCUAACUACGUGCCAGCCGCCGCGGUAA